rnacentral:lncRNA from 1 species
CAGUUCCCAUCCCUGCAGUCCACUGCCAAGCAUGUAGAGAGCCGGAAGGAUAAAGAAAUGGAGAAGAGCUUUGAAGUAGUAAGACACAAAAAUAGAGUUAGGGAGGAGGUUUCAAAAAAUCAGGCCCUUAAACUUGAGCUAGACAACCAGUAUGCUGUGCUUGAGAAUGAGAAGUACAGCCCCACACAGUACAGUUAAGGAAUGGUCUUUGCUAAGCCUUCCAAGAUAACUAGACCACAGCCAACCACCAAGAACAGCCAUUCAGCGUCUUGAUUUCUGCAUCUACAGUGGCUGACUGAAGACCUCGGUCCAGUGGCUGUCCCUGUUGCACUAUGGAAGUUCAAGAGUCACGACUGAUCUUGAUGUGUCUUGGAUUUAGGGAUGUUUUCAUUGUCUUAAAUAUUUGUGAAUUAGAUUCAACAGUGUUUCCAUAGUUGCUCUGCGUAUAAAACCAAACCUGCAGCCAGUGGUCAUUUCAAACAUCUUUAUGUUCAGAUACUGAGCCUUCGCAAGGUUGACUACCUCAGAUUUGCUGCACUUAAAUUGUGGAUUUCAUGUGGAUCACAACUUCUACAUAAGGUUACAGCUAUUAGUGUCUGUGUGAACCUUGAAACCAACUCUACUGGAUUCCUAGCAGAAAGCCUUCAGAAGUCAGCCAUCUGGGUUCUGAUCCGCUGUAAAAACAGAAGAGUUAAGUGACCUUAAUAACCUGUUCUGUGCCCCAUCCUAAGGAAUAUUCUAUAGGCUGUGGCUGUUAGACUUCCUGGAACAAGCCG